GUUCAGUGAUUCAAUCUGACAAAGAAGCUGCAGACAGAACAAAGACAAAUGACUCCAACAAUGAUCAGACCUGUUUGUUUGCUGCUUUUUCUCUUUUUCUUUGGUGUCUUACCUGGUAUCAGGGGUCAAACACUGACUGAGUCUGAAUCAGUGGUUAAAAGACCUGGAGAAUCCCACAAACUGGCUUGUACAUAUUCAGGGUUUAGUAGUGAUCCCACUAUAGCUUGGAUCAGACAGGCUGAAGGAAAAGGACUGGAAUGGAUCGCUUGGAUCAGUAGUAGCAGCAGCAUCUACUACUCAGAGUCAGUGAAAAACCGCUUCACCAUCUCCAGAGACAACAGCAGAAAGCAGGUGUAUCUGCAGAUGAACAGUCUGAGAGCUGAGGAUUCUGCUGUUUAUUACUGCGCUCGAGAGACACAGUGACUCAAGAGACACAAACUCUGUACAAAAACAC